AAAGCGAACGCAGCCGUUCCUGUGGAAGGAUUCAUAGGACAGGGAACAGCGGCUCUCUAAAGGAGAGCUUACCAGCUGAGCGAAACCACAGCUGCCAGCAGCUCCCCAGGCAGCCAAAGGCUGUAUCAGCACCCUCUCUCCCAGCCUGCCCCUUGACAGGAGUCGUGGAUGUAACGGUAUAAUUGAGUGCCUGCAUGUAGCAGGUGGCACUGGUGCCAGACCCUGCCAGCCUGCCCCACCCCCAGCAUCUCUGAUUUAAUAACAGCCGAGCUAUUUAUUUCUCCAGCAUUUGUUCUCCCAAGUCUGAAGCCCUGACUGCAAGUGGCAGUGGUGCAGAACUUAGCCGCCUCAGGGCUUCCCCUGGCUCUGGGAUGAAGCUGAGCUGCCAGGGUUCAGGAAAUCCAGAGAUUGAAGCAACCUUGAAGGAUUAUGGGUCUAUCCCUGUAUCCAGGCAAAACUGUAUUAACCACCCAGACAGACAGGAAACCACUGCUUGUCAAAGCUGUCUUCAAGUCAAAAUUAAAAUCUCUUUAUAGAAAA